rnacentral:misc_RNA from 1 species
GAUGAAGAACGUAGCGAAAUGCGAUACUUGGUGUGAAUUGCAGAAUCCCGUGAACCAUCGAGUCUUUGAACGCAAGUUGCGCCCGAAGCCAUUAGGCCGAGGGCACGCCUGCCUGGGCGUCGCACGUCGUUGCCCCCCCAUCUACUCCUUCGGGAUUGCGGGGGGCGGAUGAUGGCCUCUCGUGCGCCUCGUCGCGCGGUUGGCCUAAAUGCCAAGUCCUCGGCGACGCACGCCACGACAAUCGGUGGUUGCGAAACCUCGGUUGCCUGUCGUGUGCGGUCGUCGCGCAUCGAGGGCUCGAAAAAAGUGCCGGGCUUCGGCUCGACUUUCAACGCGAGCCCAGGUCAGGCGGGGUUACCCGCUGAAUUUAAGCAUAUCAAUAAGCGGAGGA